CUGAAUCAGUGUGUGUGUUAGUGGAAGCGUCUGGAAAGGCGCGCGAUACAGGGUGACAGCCCCGUACACAAAAAUGCACAUAUUGUGAGCUCGAUGAGUAGGGCGGGACACGUGGUAUCCUGUCUGAAUAUGGGGGGCCCAUCCUCCAAGGCUAAAUACUCCUGACUGACCGAUAGUGAACCAGUACCGUGAGGGAAAGGCGAAAAGAACCCCGGCGAGGGGAGUGAAAAAGAACCUGAAACCGUGUACGUACAAGCAGUGGGAGCACGCUUAGGCGUGUGACUGCGUACCUUUUGUAUAAUGGGUCAGCGACUUAUAUUCUGUAGCAAGGUUAACCGAAUAGGGGAGCCGAAGGGAAACCGAGUCUUAACUGGGCGUUAAGUUGCAGGGUAUAGACCCGAAACCCGGUGAUCUAGCCAUGGGCAGGUUGAAGGUUGGGUAACACUAACUGGAGGACCGAACCGACUAAUGUUGAAAAAUUAGCGGAUGACUUGUGGCUGGGGGUGAAAGGCCAAUCAAACCGGGAGAUAGCUGGUUCUCCCCGAAAGCUAUUUAGGUAGCGCCUCGUGAAUUCAUCUCCGGGGGUAGAGCACUGUUUCGGCA
rnacentral:rRNA from 1 species